GUCUACGGCCAUACCACCCUGAACGCGCCCGAUCUCGUCUGAUCUCGGAAGCUAAGCAGGGUCGGGCCUGGUUAGUACUUGGAUGGGAGAAAUUGUCAGGACACCACUGUGGGUGUGAGAGAUC
rfam:Canis lupus familiaris chromosome 27, whole genome shotgun sequence.